rnacentral:rRNA from 1 species
GGAGUUAGCCGGUGCUUCUUCUGUGAGUGAUGUCCUUCCUGCCGGCUAUUAACCCGCAGGCCUUCUUCCUCACUGAAAGUGCUUUACAACCCGAAGGCCUUCUUCACACACGCGGCAUGGAUGGAUCAGGGUUGCCCCCAUUGUCCAAUAUUCCCCACUGCUGCCUCCCGUAGGAGUCUGGGCCGUGUCUCAGUCCCAGUGUGGCUGAUCAUCCUCUCAGACCAGCUACGGAUCGUCGCCUUGGUGAGCCGUUACCUCACCAACCAGCUAAUCCGACAUAGGCUCAUCCGAUAGCGCGAGGCCCGAAGGUCCCCCGCUUUCCCCCGUAGGGCGUAUGCGGUAUUAGCCUGGGUUUCCCCAGGUUAUCCCCCACUACCGGGCAGAUUCCUAUGCAUUACUCACCCGUCCGCCGCUCGCCACCAGGGAGCAAGCUCCCCGUGCUGCCGCUCGACUUGCAUGUGUUAGGCCUGCCGCCAGCGUUCAUCUGAGCCAUAAUCAACUCUGA